AGUAACUUUGACAAUCUCGAAGGUCCAUUUUUCUCUGAGGAAUACAAACGAAAUGUAGUAAUUCAGAUCACCUGAAUUCAGCAACGAGAAAGAAAGAAAAAAAAGCUACAAAAGAAGAAAUUCACAUAAAACCCAAAUAAAGAAAAAUAUUUACUUUGACAAGAAGAGAGAAGAGGGUGAGACCUGACGGUUGAGUUUCAGGGGCAGUGAUAGCUGCAACUGACGUGGCCGCGGAGCAGAACCGAAGCUGCAAUUCUCGUGUAGUGCCACCACUUCGCCGGAGAAGGUUUCGGGUUAGGGCUUUAGUGAUGGAAGCUGCCAUGAUCCUACUGAAGCUACCAUUCGAAAUGUCGUCGUUUUGAUUAAAAUUUGAUUAAGUUUAUGGGCGAAUAUGAAAAUUACAGAACAAUUUGAGGGGUUUUUGGUAAUUCAGCUGAAUAUUGAG
rnacentral:lncRNA from 1 species